CUGAGAUGGAGCUCUGUGCUGCGGUGAAAUCGGCGUUGGAGGGAUUAGGGCAGGAGGGGCCGGUGCUGCUGGGAGCAGAGUGGGCUCUCAGUCAGAGAGAAGCAGAGCCUGACAGUGCUGUGACUCCCUCUUCUUAAGGAGAUGAGCUUGCAGUAAAGCAAGGAGCACGUGAGAGGUGAGCAGACAAAAUGGCAGAGCCCUACGAGCCCAGCACCAGCCGGAGCACAGCUGAACAGAGGGAGCACUCAGCAAACCUCUGCCUGCUGGAGCGGCACUGCUGCUGCACCGCUGCCAGAACAGUGCUUUACUGUAACUUGGAAAGUUUCGCGCACGGGUUUCAACACCUCACUCUCACACCACAUAAUGCAAAAGCUAAUUCUACUUUCAGGCUGAUGUCAACAUUCCCCUUUAUUGCCACGGCGAAAUGUGAAGACUACAUUAAUUUGCAUUUGCUGUGUGCAAGUAACGCAUUCCAGAUCAUCGUGGUAACUCCUCAAAGGUAUAGACGAGAAUUUCCUGGAUCGUGUGCUGGAUGGAAAAAGCUGCUGGGAUCCAGGAGAAGGAAACAGCAUUGUGUGUUUUCAUAACUCCACCUGGAAGCGGUGCAGAGGAGCGGGGGAGCAAAGUGGGGCUCUGCACACUGUUGGUGCACGGAGGAUGCGGGCUCUGAGCAACAAAUCACCGACAUCCAUGGGCAGGGGCACAGCUGCACCACGAAGCCUUUAACACGUCCUUCCUCCAUAAAACAAACAACCCGUCGCUAACUGGAAGUCACGCCGUUCUUACUUGGAGCCACGUGCUGAACGGACGGGCGCUGGGGCUGAGAUAAUGGUGACCCUUUGUGCGCGGAGCUGACGGAUGCAUCGCGCCCUGCGCGGAGCUCACCUCGCACCCGCAGUAAAUCAGCGGCGCUGAGCUCAGUGCUCCACGUGCACGUGGCCGUGGUGCAGAGCUGGGGAUCUUCUGGAUCGAUACGGCAAGUGCAUCGAGACUGUAGCAACACAUUUAAAACCUUAUAAAAGGUUAUUUAGUUGCUAACGGUGCAGCAGUUUCUGCAAAGCCUGCCAAAAGGUUACAGCUUUUUGGGCAUCAUAAAU
rnacentral:lncRNA from 1 species